rnacentral:lncRNA from 1 species
UCUGUCCAAGAACUAACUGUAGAGGAGAAAAUUUAUGAAGAGCUGUUGGUCUUACCCGAAUGACGGCUGCAACAUGAAGAAUUACAUGACCCCAAACUGAGGUAGGUAAGUUAGCCCUUAACAUUAAUGGGCGUGCAAUUAGUUGAAAUAUCUAUUAAAAUCAUGAAAUAUCAAAAUGGGCCAGACAAUGGGUGAAUAGGUCCACAAAUGUCUCCUUGAAUUCUCUCUAAGAAUUUUGGGGCUUCUUUAUAAACUUUUACUGGUGAUGAUCGAACAAUUAACUUUCUUCGAGAACACGCAGCACAAGGAAAUUCACUACUAGGAAAAACCUUUUU